AAAUCUGAAAUCAAUUGCACUGACUUUUUGGCUUUGCAAAAUAGGGAAAACAUACUUGGUUCAUUGAAUAUAGAGACUAUGAAAGAAGCUAUUCAUUGCUACUUAUUUGAUAUAAUAGGCUUUAAUGUUUAUGAAAGUAUUUUUUACUUUGAAUAACACCCAAUUAAAGUCACACAAGAAAAGGGAGUUCCCGUCGUGGCUCAGUGGUUAAUGAAUCCAACUAGGAACCAUGAGGUUUAGGGUUCAAUCCCUGGCCUUGCUCAGUGGGUUAAGGAUCCGACGUUGCUCUGAGCUGUGGUGUAGGUCAGACAUGGCUCUGAUCUGGCAUUGCUGUGGCUGUGGCAUAGGCUGGCGGCUACAGCUCUGAUUGGACCCCUAGCUUGGGAACCUCCAUAUGCUGUGGGAGUGGCCAUAGAAAAGGGGGGAAAAAAAGUUCACACAAGAAAGUCUGAAAUACUAAUUGUUGUUCUCUUUAUAUUACAACAGAAAUGUUCAUUUCUGAAUCUGUUUCUCAAAAUGUAGUCCUAAGAAACUAAUGUUUGAUUUCCUGUGAAGUUCUGUUUUAUGCCUUCAAUUGAUUUGUAUAAAUAGCUUAUUAGAAAGGCCAACUUAAAAUUGACGUUUAGAAUUUGGGCAGUGUCUUGAAUAUAUAAGUUCUCACCCCUCUGCUAGAUUUCACUUCGGUGUUAUUCAACUUGUGGUGGUGAGACAGGUAAAUACAAAUUCAAAGGGAAUUUAAGGAUAUGAUUAUUCCAGAAGCAAUUGUACUGAUAAUUAGUUGUUCCCGAGUUGUUCAAUAUGCUCUUAAUCUGUAUUUAUUCAAAAACUGUUAGCUCAGUGCCAGAAAGCUUUUAUUAUUUUACUUUUGAGUGGGAGAAGCUGAUACUGGAAAGAUGAUACUGGAGUCUGGGUUCUUGUUCAUGGCAGUUGAAGAAUGAACUCCACACACAGGAGCAAGCAAGCAAAGUCUUUAUUAAAGGAAAGCAGAUAGGAGUUCCCGUCGUGGUGCAGUGGUUAACGAAUCCGACUAGGAACCAUGAGGUUGUGGGUUCGAUCCCUGGCCUUGCUCAGUGGGUUAAGGAUCUGGCGUUGCCUUGAGCUGUGGUGUAGCUUGUAGGCGAGGCUUGGAUCCCGUGUUGCUGUGGCUCUGGUGUAGGCUGGCAGGAAGAGUUCCAAUUGGACCCCUAGCCUGGGAACCUCCAUAUGCUGCAGAAGUGGCCCUAGAAAAGGCAAAAAGACAAAAAUAAAUAAAUAAAUAAAAAUAAAGGAAAGCAGAUAGCUCCCAGAGCUGCUGGGAGAGGGGAGAAGAGCCCCCUUUCUCUAUUGUCCUAUAGGGGUUUUUAAUCUCUUAGUUGGGGGGGUACCAAUGUGGGGUCCAGAGAGAUGUGGUCUUCUCCCAUUGGCCUUACUCAGUUACCCAUAUCAGUCCUGUCCAAUAGGGUCUUAGGGGUGGAAAUGUCCAGUAAGUCUCAUAGUUUCUUUGUCCUUUUCUUCCCAUAAACUGAGUCACAGGGAGUUAGGGAUUAAUGUCCUUCUGAGCAUAGGUGCACUCCUUAUAGUAAACAAGGCCUAUGGGGAUGUUAUUCUCUGAAGCCUUUAAGCUACAAAUGUUAAUCCAUGGCCAUAUCAAAGAAUGCAUGGAUGUCCAAACUCCUACACUGACUACCUGAGAUAAUAUUCUGCUUCAAAGCGAUAAACCCUUACCCUCUAUUUUGCCAAAAUAAAAGGUUGGGAUUAAUACAUAAAGAAUUUGAAAUAGAAGUUCUGAAAUGCUGAAAAUUUGUCUCCUUUUCACAGCUUAUUCACAGUGUCUUUUGGAUGCAAGGUGUUUAUAAAAUGUACUGUAGUCAAAUUUACAUACAAACAAAAGAUUUUAAGAAAUGUGUUAUUUUAUUAUUUAAAAUGGAUAUUUGAAGGAAACUAAAUGAUUUUUCUGGAUGAAUUAUAAUUCCUCUCCACAAGGGCAUUUCAGUAGAAACAUGAGCUCUUAACAAUUAUAUUUGUUUAAAACAGGUAUGUGCUUUUUUAUGUAAUUUACACCAAAAAACUCCAAUACUUUAUUCAGUUCAGAUGCAUCUUAGGGCAUACAAGCCUACGUUUUACAAGUACAGAUUCUCACAUUCACAGAAAAAAUUAAAAACCAGCUAUACUAUUGUCAGGUAAUUACAUGGUUAUGGAUUUCAACUCAAACAAUUUCAGUAAUUUUUCAAUAAAACACCCAGUGACUUGAGUGCCUAGGUGUCCUUAUUUGCAUAAGAAAGGUUCUGACUAUUGAUAUAGCAUGGUACUCAUCUUUGUUUCCAUUGCUCCUCACUGGGACAUUUAAGACACAUCAGCCCUGCUAUACCCCUGCCACUGCAGAUGAUUUACUUCAUUCAAGAUUGCCAGAGGAAAGGCAAAGAUACUCCCAAAUUGUAAAAAACUCAACGAACAGUGGCAGGUAUGCUAAAAGUGGCAUACUGGAACAAAUCCAUGAGAGUGAAGCCCUAUUUUAUUCACUGGCAAGGUCAAGGGUGAGACCAAGAGUGUCAAAAUAUGUGUCCUUUGAACUUUACCAUUACCGUUCUGUGUGAUUUGGUGAUUGUAUUUUUCUAAUAAAAGUUCUUUGCCAUUUCUAACAUGUUCAGGACACAAAGGAAAAGAAAUGUUGUAGAGUUUAAUCAAGAUGGUAAAGGGCAGGAGUUCCCAUUGUAGCUCAUCAGUAAGGAAGGAACCCAAGUAGUAUCCAUGAGGAUGUGGGUUCAAUCCCUGGCCUCUCUUAGUGGGUUAAGGAUAAGGCAUUGCCAUGAGCUGUGGUGUAGGUCACAGACAGAGCUCAGAUCUCCCAUUGCUGUGGCUGUGGUGUAGGCCGGUAGCUGCAGUUCUGAUUCCCCUAGCCUGGGAACUUCCAUAUACCACAGGUGUGGCACUAAAAUGACCAAAAAAAAAAAAAAAAAAAAAAAAAAAAAA
rnacentral:lncRNA from 1 species